CCUACGGGAGGCAGCAGUCGAGAAUCAUUCACAAUGGGGGAAACCCUGAUGGUGCGACGCCGCGUGGGGGAAUGAAGGUCUUCGGAUUGUAAACCCCUGUCAUGUGGGAGCAAAUUAAAAAGAUAGUACCACAAGAGGAAGAGACGGCUAACUCUGUGCCAGCAGCCGCGGUAAGACAGAGGUCUCAAGCGUUGUUCGGAAUCACUGGGCGUAAAGCGUGCGUAGGCUGUUUCGUAAGGCGUGUGUGAAAGGCGCGGGCUCAACCCGCGGACGGCACAUGAUACUGCGAGACUAGAGUAAUGGAGGGGGAACCGGAAUUCUCGGUGUAGCAGUGAAAUGCGUAGAUAUCGAGAGGAACACUCGUGGCGAAGGCGGGUUCCUGGACAUUAACUGACGCUGAGGCACGAAGGCCAGGGGAGCGAAAGGGAUUAGAUACCCGAGUAGUC
rnacentral:rRNA from 1 species